UUGUCUGUUCACUUUGAAUUAGGGUUAGCCGUCAUCUUCUAUCUCUGCGAUGAAUGAGCUAGAGCAACAAUGGAGAUCAAAUCAAGUCAGCCGAAACGUCCCAUUAAUGAUACUCAUCUAACACCAAGGCAGUUUUCUUUACCUAUAAAAGGACUGGUGACUGCUCUUACACCGUCCAUGUGCGGUUGCUCCGAUUCUGGGAAGCUGAUUCUUGGUGAUUUGAAUAUUUUAUUAUCUCAUGCUCAUAGUAUUUUUUUUUUCCAGCAACCACCUUCGUAAGGAUGAUCUAUUUUAUAUAGAUUUAGAUCUUCAUUGAACCUAUUUUUGUUUUUUUCAAUGUUGUUUGAUAAAGAUCUCUUUCACAUUUGUUACAGUCAACCGUCAUGCCAGCCACCAUGAAUGUUCACCGGCUAGCCACUUACAGAGACCGUCUCCAGGCUGGUUCACCGGUGCAACCAGAACUUCAGGCUUUCAGACUUGCUUCUGACAGUCCGGUACAUUGAUAUAACCAAUCUAGAUGUGCUAAACGAACCAGAUUCUCACAUUCCUGAAGAACGUUUCGGUGAUCACGAUUCGCUUCUUGGCCCAGACAACACCAACACACAUCUUCUAGACGUUAUUACUGAGCUCACUGCUAUGAGAAGUACGGUGAGUGACAUUCCUCAAGUAAAAGAGCGAGUUAUGGCGACUAUGUAGAUCGACAGUCUGUUUGACUCACAAGCGAUCUCUUUUCACAAGAAACUUGAAGGUUGUUGUUGCAAGUAGCAUAAACCCAAAGAUGGUAGGAGGACGUUUGUCACACGUGUUUUUCGACAAGGAAACUGAUGCAGAAGCUAGACAUGUCUCUUUCAUUUAAAGAUCAGUCAAAACAGAACACAUUCAGAUCUCGAUUAUUAAUCUAUAGUACAUGAAGAAGUUUCAGCACGUUAAACAUGACAGACAUGAUCUUUUGAAGAGAGAAAUAGAUGUGUAUCUGCUGCAGUUGUACGGCUACUGAGAUAGGACACAAGAGGAUGAAUACAAAAUAGAGAUCUGCAGUACUUUGAUGAACUAGAAGCUAGAAAUGAUGUGUAGCCUUCUCCCAAACUGGAAACAUCAACAAACUACCUUGGUCUAAAUAUAAAAAGUCUUAACAGCAAGUAGGGUCUAAUCAUAUUUACUAAUAUAUAAGCCCAUAUGUAGAAAAAUAAUACGAGUGUACACAAUGAUUUGGUCUAUGUGUUAUUGUAUAUAGUAUUCUAGACUACGAUUCUUCUUUAAUCUUCUUCUCUGAAUA